GUCUCUAUAGCUCAACGGACAGAGCGUCAGUUUCCGGAACUGAAAAUGGAGGUUCAAUUCCCCCUAGAGACA
rnacentral:tRNA from 1 species